rnacentral:rRNA from 1 species
GACGAACGCUGGCGGCGUGCCUAACACAUGCAAGUCGAACGGAAAGGCCCUGCUUUUGUGGGGUGCUCGAGUGGCGAACGGGUGAGUAACACGUGAGUAACCUGCCCUUGACUUUGGGAUAACUUCAGGAAACUGGGGCUAAUACCGGAUAGGAGCUCCUGCUGCAUGGUGGGGGUUGGAAAGUUUCGGCGGUUGGGGAUGGACUCGCGGCUUAUCAGCUUGUUGGUGGGGUAGUGGCUUACCAAGGCUUUGACGGGUAGCCGGCCUGAGAGGGUGACCGGCCACAUUGGGACUGAGAUACGGCCCAGACUCCUACGGGAGGCAGCAGUGGGGAAUAUUGCACAAUGGGCGGAAGCCUGAUGCAGCAACGCCGCGUGCGGGAUGACGGCCUUCGGGUUGUAAACCGCUUUCGCCUGUGACGAAGCGUGAGUGACGGUAAUGGGUAAAGAAGCACCGGCUAACUACGUGCCAGCAGCCGCGGUGAUACGUAGGGUGCGAGCGUUGUCCGGAUUUAUUGGGCGUAAAGGGCUCGUAGGUGGUUGAUCGCGUCGGAAGUGUAAUCUUGGGGCUUAACCCUGAGCGUGCUUUCGAUACGGGUUGACUUGAGGAAGGUAGGGGAGAAUGGAAUUCCUGGUGGAGCGGUGGAAUGCGCAGAUAUCAGGAGGAACACCAGUGGCGAAGGCGGUUCUCUGGGCCUUUCCUGACGCUGAGGAGCGAAAGCGUGGGGAGCGAACAGGCUUAGAUACCCUGGUAGUCCACGCUGUAAACGGUGGGUACUAGGUGUGGGGUCCAUUCCACGGGUUCCGUGCCGUAGCUAACGCUUUAAGUACCCCGCCUGGGGAGUACGGCCGCAAGGCUAAAACUCAAAGGAAUUGACGGGGCCCCGCACAAGCGGCGGAGCAUGCGGAUUAAUUCGAUGCAACGCGUAGAACCUUACCUGGGUUUGACAUGGAUCGGGAGUGCUCAGAGAUGGGUGUGCCUCUUUUGGGGUCGGUUCACAGGUGGUGCAUGGCUGUCGUCAGCUCGUGUCGUGAGAUGUUGGGUUAAGUCCCGCAACGAGCGCAACCCUUGUUCACUGUUGCCAGCACGUUAUGGUGGGGACUCAGUGGAGACCGCCGGGGUCAACUCGGAGGAAGGUGGGGAUGACGUCAAGUCAUCAUGCCCCUUAUGUCCAGGGCUUCACGCAUGCUACAAUGGCUGGUACAGAGAGUGGCGAGCCUGUGAGGGUGAGCGAAUCUCCGGAAAGCCGGUCUCAGUUCGGAUUGGGGUCUGCAACUCGACCUCAUGAAGUCGGAGUCGCUAGUAAUCGCAGAUCAGCAACGCUGCGGUGAGUACGUUCCCGGG